rnacentral:lncRNA from 1 species
AAACUUGCAAUGAAUCUGGCGUAUACUGUAGUUGGCAAAAGCUGGCCAACUGCACAAUGCACAUUACACAACUAUAUUAAACAACUUAAACACAGUUAAACACUUAACACAGUCCAACAAGUCCAACAACUUAAACACAGUUAAACAAGUUAAACACAGUCCAACAAAAACAGUCUUAACUCUUAAGUAUUAACACUUAAACACAGUGCAACACUGCAACUGGCCAACUACAAGUCUGCAUAGUCUUAACACUUAAACAGUUAAACAUAGUGCAACAAAAACAGAGAGGGCAUCCAUCAACAAACAGUCUUGACUCUUGAGCAGUAGCACGGGGCGUUGAGCAGUAGCACGGGGCAUGAUUGCACUUGAACCUAAAAAAAUAUAAAUCAUAAGUUAGAAUAUUAUAGUUUGAUGAUACUAAAACAAAACUACAAAAUAUUAAGUAUAUCAUUAUCACCAAACAAAUGGAGUAUUAAACUUACCACUCAAGAUGCAAAUUGCAACUAUACAUCAAACAAUGCUAGUAGUGCUUCCAUUAUUUUCCAUAUCUAAAGAUAAUACGACCAAAUAUGUCAUACAAAAGAAAAAGCAUGAUAUAUUAUUUUGAAUUAAAAUACACACAAAAUAUUAAAGCUUACCAAGCUCGAUUUCCUCAAGAUACUUCAAGUCUUCUUCAACAUUAAUAGGAUUCUUCUCUUCUCUAAGCCAAUCUUGAAGACAAAUAAG